rnacentral:rRNA from 1 species
CAACUUUCAACAAUGGAUCUC